rnacentral:rRNA from 2 species
UAGAGUUUGAUUCCCUGGCUCAGAUUGAACGCUGGCGGCAGGCCUAACACAUGCAAGUCGAGCGGAUGAAGAGAGCUUGCUCUCUGAUUCAGCGGCGGACGGGUGAGUAAUGCCUAGGAAUCUGCCUAUUAGUGGGGGACAACGUUUCGAAAGGAACGCUAAUACCGCAUACGUCCUACGGGAGAAAGCAGGGGACCUUCGGGCCUUGCGCUAAUAGAUGAGCCUAGGUCGGAUUAGCUAGUUGGUGAGGUAAAGGCUCACCAAGGCGACGAUCCGUAACUGGUCUGAGAGGAUGAUCAGUCACACUGGAACUGAGACACGGUCCAGACUCCUACGGGAGGCAGCAGUGGGGAAUAUUGGACAAUGGGCGAAAGCCUGAUCCAGCCAUGCCGCGUGUGUGAAGAAGGUCUUCGGAUUGUAAAGCACUUUAAGUUGGGAGGAAGGGCAGUAAGCUAAUACC